rnacentral:misc_RNA from 1 species
CUGAAAUAACUCGAUUUGAUUUAAUUUUUCGGUUUAAAUCGAAAUCUGUUCAACCCUACAAGGGGCUAAUCCAUAACUAGCAAAUGCUUAAUAAAAAUAUUAAUAAAAAAAAAUAUUUUAAUGCACAAGAAAACAUUAAAUUACAAAUUGUUCAGUUCUUAACAGCAGAAUCAUGGGUUUAAGAAAUUUGAAAAUAUGGAGUGCCAACAUUGGAGAGGUGGCCUUGCACACACCAUCUUGCUUAUUAAUUAUGUAUGUUUGUGAUGAAUAAAGAAUCAUGUAUUCAACUUCGUAGUCCCAACUUAGCCGCCACCCUGCACCAUCCAAUCACUUCAAUCUUUUAAUUCCUUUAAAAGUUGGGAAAUAUCAAUCAAAACUACGCCUUGUUUCAUUUCUGUUAAACAAUUACAAUUCAUUCUUUUUCAAUCAAAGAGAUAAUUUGAUUGAUUUGUCUCAAACUGAAAUUCAAAUUCGAGAUCUUUAACAACUUCACAACCAUUAAAUUAAAGCCUUACUGGUUCCAUUUGAAGAGAUUAAUGGUUUCUUGAUGGGAUAUAAUUUAUCACCACCACUUCUUCUUUGGCAUGAGCCUAUAUGGAAGUGGAUUACUAUGAUAGAACCAUUUCACCAGCCCCCACUAUGCAACCUGCAUGUACUCCACUACCCAGCAGAGAUUACAUUAAAUUUAAUACAAUUUCAGAAUAAAUGUAUAGAUAAUCUUUUGCCUGAAAAAAAAAAAAAUUCCUGCCCAAGACUUAUCUCAAUAAUGGAAUUUUGGAGGUACCCAAAGUCUAUACCAGAAAGAAACCCAACAGCACUUUUAAGUGCAUAUUGUCUUCGCACGCAUAGAUUUAAGUCAAAUUUGAGAGGAUAAACAACAGUAUAUUACAAUUCUUUUCUUGAUGGGAUGCAUCAUCAUAGCACUUAAGAGAGCCAGCUUCUCUUUUUUUUUUCCUGCCUUUCUGUGUAGUGGGACUUGCCGAGUUCUUCUCCCAUUAACCAAAGAUAUGGAAUUGUACCAAAUUCACUGAGAAAGACGACUUCAAGUGGCCUUGUUGCUUAUUCUUACUGUAUAAAUUGCUAACUCUUGCUUGCUACUGCCUGUCACAUAACACUAAUAGUUCAGGUUUUAGAACAGCUUCUGUGCACUUUCAAGAUAUGAAGCAUAAUAACUACAAACUCCCCAUUGUUCACUUGUUUUCUGUUUUACUCUUGAAUCCACUGGUGUCCUGCCAACUUGACUAUAAAUUCUAUGAUGAUUCUUGUCCUAACCUGACAAAAAUUGUUCGGUAUGGUGUUUGGUCAGCAAUGUCCAACGAUACUAGGAUGGCAGCCUCUCUAUUGAGGCUUCACUUUCAUGAUUGUUUUGUUAAUGUAAUCAAAUGAAUCAUUUCUCCUUUUUUUAUAUUAUUUUUAUAAUUCCCAAGUUUCUCAAUGUCCUGAUUAAUCUUCUGGGAGUGUGCAAAAGCCAACUCCCCUGCCUCUAUUGAUGAGGAAAAUAACUGCAAAGUUUUUUGCGUCUUCUGCUAUACAGGGAUGUGAUGGGUCUCUCCUACUUGAUGGUGAGAAUGGGGAGAAAAAUGCAUUGGCCAAUCGAAAUUCAGCUAGAGGAUUUGAGGUCAUUGACAAUAUUAAGGCUAAUUUGGAGAAAGCCUGCCCUGCCACUGUUUCUUGUGCUGAUAUACUAGCUCUUGCAGCAAGAGAAGCAGUUUAUCUUACUGGAGGUCCAUUUUGGAAUGUACCUUUGGGUCGCAGAGAUGGCUUAACAGGAAGUCAGACUGCUGCUAAUCAACAGAUACCAUCACCUUUUGAGCCGUUAGAGAACAUCACUGCAAAAUUUACCUCAAAGGGUCUUGAAUUGAAGGAUGUUGUUGUGCUCUCAGGUGGACACACACUUGGCUUUGCUCAGUGCUUCACCUUCAAAACAAGGCUCUUCAACUUUAGUGGCUCUGGAAAACCUGAUCCUGCACUAGACGCAUCAUUUUUGCAAAGUCUGCAAAAUGUAUGCCCAAACCAAGCAGAUUCUGAUACAAACUUGGCUCCUUUCGAUUCUACUUCCUCCAAAUUUGACAACCUCUAUUACAAGCUUCUUGUGAACAAUUCUGGGCUUCUCCAAUCAGACCAAGCUCUCAUGGGGGACAAUAAAACUGCUUCAUUUGUCAGUUACUACAGCAAGUUCCCUUACUUGUUCUUCAGGGAUUUCGGAGUAUCAAUGGUCAAGAUGGGUGGCAUUGGUGUUCUUACAGGACAAAAUGGGGAGAUCAGGAAAAACUGUAGGGUGAAGAACUAAAAGCUUGGUGUUCUUGCAAUGUAAAUCAAAGCCCUACGUAAUAUAACUCUUUAAGAAUGGACAAAAUGCAGCACUGUAACCAACUGCAAGUGACAUUAAUGCUUAAUUAAAGUAAUUUGCAAAUUCUACUGUGUGACAAUUAGACAAUGGUUUGCCUCUUUGCAUAGCCAAUUUGAUCAAAUCAUCGAAACAAUCUUGUGAUGCUCCUUACAAGAAAACUUCGAACUUGAAGCAAAAUGGAUGGCUUCUUUUUCUUUCCUCCCUUAUUAUUUCUUGAUCUUAUCUUCCUUGUUUUUGAAUUCUUGUUCAACUUACCAGUUGCUUUGCCUCGAGGUUU